UUUUCAUCUCCACCGUUCAUCUUAUCUUCUUCUUUUUACUGAUUUCCUGGUUUUUCACCUACUGAUUUCCCGUCUUCUUCUACGUCGCAUGAGUGUACUCUCACCCAUCCAUCACAGCUCAGAGUUUUCUCUCCAAUGUCGUCAUCGUCCGCUGGAUCCUUCUAUUGCUUGCUCAUCCAUGUCUACAACUCAGUUUCUCAUCUGCUCCCGUCAAAUCGCUUCUCUGCUUCAUUCAAUUGCAUCAUCGUCGACGCUUGCCUUCUCUUCCGUGUUCAAGGAGGUUUCGCUCGCCGGAAAUGGGGGAACCAGCCAUAUUUCGACAGCUACCUCCAUUCACUGUUAAUUGAUCAUCCUUCUUUCUAAAUUCCAGUUCUGAGUGCAUUCCCAAGGAGCAAAUCGUGGGUGAGCAAAAUCCUUGGGAAUCACAACAUUGAGAACUCACAUAGCUACUAUCGAGAAGCUUUUGAUGUUGUUGUACUGAAUGAUGCACCCAUCUGGGGAGUUAUCAAACUGGCCUCUCUUCUGUGUUCAAGUGGGAGGUGAUUAUUUUGCAGAAAUCAUGUAUUCUUAGCAGUCUCAUUGUUUUCUUGUCUUGCACAUCCCAGGCCACUCAUUAUUUUCCCUCAUAUUCAGAUUCAAGUGGCCCAUGUGAGUUUCUAUCAUACUUUUUCCCAUAUUUUUAUCUGAUUGUCUCACCCUCUCUCUCUCUCCACGAGAAUUUUUUUAGCUUUAUUAUACAUACCUCACAUUAUAUAGUCUGUUUUGUGAAAUAAUGCGACUAAUAAGUUAUUUGGAAACACUUAUACAGUUCAUUCUAAGGCAAAUGAUGAGACUAAUAGUAUGUUCAAAAUUUUGUCUACAAUUAAUUUUAAAGUUCGAAUCAAUUCCGGAGAGAAGCUUAUAUGAAGAGCUUCUAGAAUAAAAUUGAUUGAUUAUGAAUUGAUCCAAAUAUGCUAUAACUCUGUUUGCACUUGCUCUAUGUUCCAUUCUUUAUGAUACUACUAAGCGAAAGUAAGUUUAACAAGCAUAAAAGUGCAAGUCUGGUGAUAUAAAGCUACAAUUACAGACAAGGUUCGGGGAAUCAAAUCCAUUUUGUGAAUUUAAUGUAGGUUGUCUUUACCUGAAAUCAAAUAUGCAUAGUUGAAUUCUUAUACCAGGUUGAUUACACAACUUGAACUUAUGAACAGAAAGUCACAUUGGAGCAGAUAACAACGAUGCCUCAUAAAAAUGCUUAUUUCUAAGAAGUUAAUUACAAUUGUCUUUCUUUUUCAUUAUUUAGGCUAUUUUGUUUCCAAAAUUUUUUAUUGUUUCAAAUAUGAUUUUCUUUUUUAUUAGUAAGAGGUGUUUGGCCAGUUUGUGCUUUUUGCUUUUGCUGUCAAGGUUCAAAGAAAGGUGCAGUAGGAUGCCAACAGUAUUGUUAUAAGGAUGUAAGAUAGAGAAGAGAAAACAGGAUGAGGUUAGAAAAAAAAACCAACCGGGGUUUCUUUUUUUUUAUCCUGUUUUUCUGUGUUCCUCUUUCUUCCUUUUUCUCACAUAAACUGGUUCAUAAGUUAACUUAAGUUUAAAGGUGCUGUAACAGUUUGAACCAAAAAAACUUUUCCUUUAUUUCUCACUUGCUUCAGUUAAAGCAAAGUGAAUUUUGGUGUUUUUUCCAACCUUCUAUUACACUUCCCUCUUUUCUUCAUCCUCCUUCACCUGCUUCUUGCUCCUCUCUUCUUAUCCUUCUACAACACUUUUCAUUUUCCUGCAUAUUCUCAUCCUUAUUCUGCAGAAUUUUCAUUACCUUAGAUUUGAUUCAUUCUCUAAAACAGCCACAUGUAUGGUAAAGACUUAUUCUCUAGAGCACGAACACUUGAUAACCUGCACUUGAUAGCACCUAGAGCACGAACACUUGAUAACCUGCACUUGAUAGCACCUAGAGCACUAACACUUGAUAAAAUCUUAUAACUUUUAAUUCUUAGAUGGCUUCCUUUUCUAUUUUUGUAAAGUCUUAUUUUCUCUGGUCAAUAAACAUAUUUGAAGGUAUGCUUUUUACCCUUUAAUUUCAUCGUGCAUAUAAUUUCGGUGGUUAAACAUAUGUUAUUGUUCUCAGCUAAUUUUGAAAUUAGUGUGCACAAGUAUAAUUACUAUAUUUUGAGACUAAACCCAUUUUUCUGCAGCAAAGUUUUUUCAAAUUUACAAAAUUAGAAUGAUACCAUUUUUACUUUAAAAUGAUUAAAAAGAUUACUUUGACAUAAAGACAUUGAUCUCUUGCAUUACAUGUGAACUUCUCAACAUGAUAAAGUGAUUGAAGUGGCCAGUCCUCCUUUGUAGCAGUGCCUCACCUACAAUUUACUUUGAUAUGAGCCAAACUGACAGGCUUGAUACAAGUCUAAUCUUUAGUAGCAACCUAUGUUGUCAUUAUUUUAAAACUAAACCAAGCUAUAUCAGUCAUGAAGCAUAUAUACUGGCUUUGACGAUAAAUUAUGAUGAUUUUAGAUUUCUGGUUUUGGAGGUGUCAUACUUAUUUUUCUGUGUUGCCGUUUUUCUGCGAUAGUUUGAGGGGUUGAUUACAGGAGUCAUUUUCAAUGUCGUUUUGUUGGUCCUCAUACUCAAGCGCCUCCUUUGUUUGAUAUUUGUACUCGAGAUUUCUCAAUUUGCUAUUUUUUUCAUCAGUUUUACAAGCUAUGUAUCUUUUUGAUUUUGACAUUCCCUUUUUUUAAAAUAACAAGCGUCUAUUGUUCUUUUUAUAUCACGGAGGCCAUCUAGAUGAUGUUAGAAGAGAAAAAAUUUAAGGAAUGAUUUCAUGUUCUAUUUGUAGAUUUUAUACUAUGAGUAAGCUCUACCACUUCUUUCUUUCUCAGUAUGUGUACAACUAUUGAUUGUAUACAUAUAUUGCAUAGUCUCCAAUCUGUUCUUCGUUUAUGGACUGCAAUGAAAAAUAGCUCUAUUGAUAUGGUUGUUCUGGUACAACAAAAAGUUGGUGAAAAUAUUUUAAAUCUGGCUGCAGACCACAAGGUUUGUGUAACCUGUUUCUUUGCCUUUGUUAUUAUGCAAGGUCUCACUGUGAACAUGAGAAUAACAGCUAAAAGGAAAGUGGAGAACAAAAACUGGAACACAUUGGUUGUGAACUUGUGAAACAUAAUUGAUUGUGAAACAAAAACUAGAAUUGGAUAUUUAACCGCUAUAACGAAAAUUAAAUGUUCUGAAACCACAUUGAAGGUGAUGGAGACUCUGAAUUAUGUACAUGAUGGAUGCCUUACAUGAGGAUUGAAGAUUGUGACUUCGAGAGUUUGAAUGCUACACCAAACACAGAUCAUUAAAGAGCGCAAGAGAAAUGAUGAUACUUCUCAAUCCUUCACAUUUUUAUCUGAAUUAAAUAUUAUAGGUAUUGAUUGCUUAUAUUGCCCUACAUAUUCCAUAGUGCCUGAGAAAAAACUGUAAAUUGUGGUGAUUUUAUUUUGUAAAUCUUUAUUUGAUCAUACUUCAAAGUAUAAGGAAACAAUGUAACUUGAGUAAAAUCUAAGCCACAUUGUUUCUCUACACUUGACAUAUAUUACACAAAAAUUCUUUGAUGUAUGUAAUUUGGGUGAGAUCACAUUGCCAAACUUUUUUUUUUGAGACCUCUAUUGGUUGGCUUGCUAAUGUGCCUUCUUAUUGUGUUCAUGAUCCUUGCACUAUUUUGAAUAUGGAGGCUGAUUUGAUAUGACUUUAUGAUGCCCUUUGUUACACUAAUGCAGUGUAACUUUUAUUAUCUAGAAUCACUUUAAGAUUAUGUGAACUUGCUUUUCAUUCUACUAAUAGUAAUUUAUUUAUUUAAUGCUUUUGUCUAUUGUUUUCUCAUAAGAGCAAUAAAAUAGCUCAAAGAAUAUGUAAGGAAAUUGGUUGACCUGGAGUAGUUCCCGCUAUUGAGGAGAGGGUAUUGGUGAAUUUAAACGGUGAUUCCACAUACAGGACUCAGUAUUUGUUCUCCCUUCACAAUUGAUGAUUUGGUAUUAGAGGGUUCCAUUUCAACAAUUGGUCUGUAUGCCAAUCCUUUUUUCAGGUACCAUUACUGCUUGAUUUGGCGAUAUAAUUAUACUAUGCAACAUAUUGUAGUACACAACUAUAAAGUGAUCUAACUAUUCAAGUUUUUUUUUUCUUUUGUUAUGGCUCUGCAAGGAAUUUGCUUUAAUUAUGUACUUCAUGUUUUGCACACGGCUGGUAAAAAUUAGUUUGAGUAUAUGCAUUUUUUUUAAUAUGAACUUUAUUUACAUGUUUUAAUUACUGAAUUUUCCUAUAUGCACGAACUAACGUGAUUGAAUCUGAUUUUUUGGCUCCUUGCAAAUGUUCUGUCUCAUAAGUUUAACCUCAUUGCUUUUGGCUAUUUAAACACUCACCUACUCUAAUUAAUACCUUUUUUGUGCUCUAAUUUGUGAAUAAUUUAUAUAUGGUAUUUGUAGCAUGGCAUAGAUGCCAUUGAUGAUGUUUUAUACCAUGUUGAAACAUAUGAUGUGACAACAAUUAGAGCAAGCAUGCCCAAAUUUCUAAUGUCUAUGAAGAUUAAAUCACUUUAUGCCAUAUGGAUAAUCUCUGGAGAAGAAUCUGAUGAGGUUUUUUUGUCGGUAUCUGUACUUCCACAAGUCACCUUACAAGGAAGAGUUUCACACAGAAGUAUGCCACAAGGUCAUGGACUUAACAUGUUAUUAAAAUUUCGUGCAACACAUUUUGUAUUGGCAGAAAGAAUAAUUCAGUGAUUAUAUACUUUUGAAGGUUACUUUGGUAGUGAAUGUAUACUUUGGACAUGGCACAUGUUUUUUCAAUGAAAGGAAUUGUAUAA